rnacentral:pre_miRNA from 1 species
UCAGUAGAAAGACAGUACCUCGCCUGUAUAGGUUCGAGGUCAGGCGGUAUGCUUUCUACUUUUU